AUUGAACGCUGGCGGCAGGCCUAACACAUGCAAGUCGAGCGGAUGAAGGGAGCUUGCUCCUGGAUUCAGCGGCGGACGGGUGAGUAAUGCCUAGGAAUCUGCCUGGUAGUGGGGGAUAACGUCCGGAAACGGGCGCUAAUACCGCAUACGUCCUGAGGGAGAAAGUGGGGGAUCUUCGGACCUCACGCUAUCAGAUGAGCCUAGGUCGGAUUAGCUAGUUGGUGGGGUAAAGGCCUACCAAGGCGACGAUCCGUAACUGGUCUGAGAGGAUGAUCAGUCAACGUGGAACUGAAACACGGUCCAGGCCCCUAGGGGAGGCACGAGUGGGGAAUUUUGGAAGAUGGGGGAAAGCCUGACCCAGCCAUGGCGGGUGGGUGAAGAAGGGCUUCGGAUUGUAAAACACUUUAAGUUGGGGGGAAGGGCAGUAAGUUAAAACCUUGCUGUUUUGACGUUACCAACAGAAAAAGCCCCGGCUAACUUCGU
rnacentral:rRNA from 1 species